rnacentral:rRNA from 1 species
CGGAGGGUGCGAGCGUUAAUCGGAAUUACUGGGCGUAAAGCGCACGCAGGCGGUUUGUUAAGCUAGAUGUGAAAGCCCCGGGCUCAACCUGGGAUGGUCAUUUAGAACUGGCAGACUAGAGUCUUGGAGAGGGGAGUGGAAUUCCAGGUGUAGCGGUGAAAUGCGUAGAUAUCUGGAGGAACAUCAGUGGCGAAGGCGACUCCCUGGCCAAAGACUGACGCUCAUGUGCGAAAGUGUGGGUAGCGAACAGGAUUAGAUACCCUGGUAGUCCACACCGUAAACGCUG